rnacentral:sRNA from 1 species
UACAAUCUGCUUUAAGUUGCCACUUAUAA